GGGAUGACGGCCUUCGGGUUGUAAACCUCUUUUAGCAGGGAAGAAGCGAGAGUGACGGUACCUGCAGAAAAAGCGCCGGCUAACUACGUGCCAGCAGCCGCGGUAAUACGUAGGGCGCAAGCGUUAUCCGGAAUUAUUGGGCGUAAAGAGCUCGUAGGCGGUUUGUCGCGUCUGCUGUGAAAUCCCGAGGCUCAACCUCGGGCUUGCAGUGGGUACGGGCAGACUAGAGUGCGGUAGGGGAGAUUGGAAUUCCUGGUGUAGCGGUGGAAUGCGCAGAUAUCAGGAGGAACACCGAUGGCGAAGGCAGAUCUCUGGGCCGUAACUGACGCUGAGGAGCGAAAGGGUGGGGAGCAAACAGGCUUAGAUACCCUGGUAGUCCACCCCGUAAACGUUGGGAACUAGUUGUGGGGUCCUUUCCACGGAUUCCGUGACGCAGCUAACGCAUUAAGUUCCCCGCCUGGGGAGUACGGCCGCAAGGCUAAAACUCAAAGGAAUUGACGGGGACCCGCACAAGCGGCGGAGCAUGCGGAUUAAUUCGAUGCAACGCGAAGAACCUUACCAAGGCUUGACAUACACGAGAACGGGCCAGAAAUGGUCAACUCUUUGGACACUCGUGAACAGGUGGUGCAUGGUUGUCGUCAGCUCGUGUCGUGAGAUGUUGGGUUAAGUCCCGCAACGAGCGCAACCCUCGUUCUAUGUUGCCAGCACGUAAUGGUGGGAACUCAUGGGAUACUGCCGGGGUCAACUCGGAGGAAGGUGGGG
rnacentral:rRNA from 1 species